CUAUUCUAACAUGAAACAGGGAUGUACGUACAAGUGAUAAAGGAUUGAUUUCCUAGAUCGAUCGAUCGAUCUGUUUGUAUUUCAGUGGAUGGGGUGCUCCACAAUGUAGAAUUGCCAAUAAAAGUUGGAUGAUGGAUGCAACCAUCUACAACAAAAAAUCAGAACAGAUGAAAUUGAUGAAAGAGAUGGUAAUUAACAAUCCAUCAAAUUAGUCCUGGCCUAAAACAACCUACUGUGGGGUGAUUCUAAUAGCCUCACCCAUCACAAUCAAGAGAGAGAGAGAGAGAGAGAGAGUUUAACGGUCUUCUGGGAUGCUCUCCAGAGCUGGCCUCCAGCCUCUGUUUGUCCUCUCAUCGCUGGUUCUGACAUGAGAAAUCUUUCUGGUUUUCAGCUUCAUUGUCUUCAACAAUUGCUCCACAGAAGAGUACUUACUCUCACUCCUCAAAAUCUGAAUCAACUCUCUCUGCGUCACCACCACUCGAAUCCUCACAGCCCCGUUCUUUGAAUAGCCAUUUCUUUCUUUAUCAGCAUCAUCUUCUUCAUUGAAUCUGGACCUCACUGUCUUCUUCUUCUUCUUACCACCAUGGACAUCUCUCCUCCUCUCAAUUGCUUCUGCUUCUCUUGGAUGAUUUUCUUUCUCAUCACACAAUUUCCC
rnacentral:lncRNA from 1 species